GGACUACCCGGGUAUCUAAUUCCGUUCGCUCCCCACGCUUUCGCGCUACAGCGUCAGUUGUGAGCCAGAAAGCCGCCUUCGCCACUGGUGUUCCUCCCGAUAUCUACGCAUUUCACUACUACACCGGGAAUUCCACUUUCCUCUCUCACACUCCAGAUCCGCAGUAUUGGCAGCACUUUCAGAGUUAAGCUCUGAACUUUCACCACCAACUAACGAAUCCGCCUUAACGCGCUUUACGCCCAGUAAAUCCGAAUAACGCUCGUCCCCUACGUAUUACCGCGGCUGCUGGCAC
rnacentral:rRNA from 1 species